rnacentral:rRNA from 1 species
AUGGCGGAGGCGGAAUCGGCGCCCGGACGCGGAGGGGCGGGCGAGGACGCGAUGGACGCCGCCGGUCCCGCGCCGGCGGAGGCCGUCCCCGUCCCCGACGUUAACAUGAACCCUCUCAAGAGGCCAUCGGAGUCGUGUGCUCAAGGAGACGAAGCAGACGGGCAGAAGCGGCAGAAGACAGAGUCUCAAGUUUUCACACCCAGAAGAUACCAGCUCGAUGUCUUUGAGGUUGCCAAGGCGCGAAACACGAUUGCAAUGCUUGACACAGGAGCCGGGAAGACGAUGAUUGCCGUGAUGCUCAUGAAAGAGUUUGGGAAAAAGAUCGACAAAUCAAAUAACAAUGGGAAGAUCAUAUUCCUUGCACCAACAGUUCAGCUCGUCACUCAGCAAUGCGAGGUGAUUAAAACCCACACAGAUUUUGAGGUGGAACUGUAUUGCGGUGCCUCGGGGGUUGAUCACUGGACGCCUCAGAGAUGGAAAGAAAAAGUAUCGAAAUCUCAGGUCAUGGUGAUGAUACCAGAUGUGUUGCUAAGUGCUUUAGGCAAAGCUUUCUUGAGCUUGGACAUGGUUAGUCUUAUGAUAUUUGAUGAGUGCCAUCGUGCAACUGGCAAACACCCUUAUUCGAGAAUAAUGAAGGACUACUAUCACCAAUCUGACCACAAGCCAAAGGUGUUUGGUAUGACGGCCUCGCCUGUUAUAAGAAAAGGUGUCUCUUCUAAUCUGGAUUGUGAAGUUCAGUUCACUGAACUGGAAAAGCUUCUAAAUGCUAAGAUCUACGCUGUGGCUGAUAGAGCAGAGAUAGAGCUUUGCGCUCCUUCUGCAAAAGAAGUGGACAGAUACUAUGACCCAAAAACUGUUUGUUUCAAGGAUUUGAGUGAAGAGUUGGGAUUUUUGCAUUCCGAGUACGAUGCAUUAAUAACUACAUUGCAGAAUAAGCCUAACUACCAGAAUAAAGAAUCCGAUGAAAUAGCUAAAGAAUCACAGAGGCGUCUAUCCAAUUCUUCAGCCAAAAUCCUGUAUUGCAUCGAUGAUAUUGGUCUUCUUUGUGCUAGUGAGGUCACCAAAAUCUACAUUGAAAGGGGACAGAGAACAGGUUGGCUGAAGAAAGCUUCUGAUGCCACAAAUAUUCAAAGUGUUGCAAAUAGCUCGUUCCUGCUUGCAGAAAUUUCAGCGCUUCAUCUGAAGUUCUUUGAGGAUAUGUCACGUAUAAUUGACAAGCAUCUCCAGCAAGGUAGCGAUGUGCUUCUAAAUUCUGAGAGUGGAUGUGUGGAAGCAAUUAAGACGGGUUAUAUUUCACCAAAGCUUUAUGAACUCAUCCAAAUCUUCCGCUCUUUCAGUAACUGUGAUCAUGUCCGAUGCCUCAUUUUUGUGGAUCGAAAGAUCACUGCUAGAGCCAUGGAACGGACAAUGAAGAAAAUUGGACACCUCUCACAUUUUACAUUUUCUUCUCUUACUGGAGGGAGUUCUUCAGUGGACGCUCUGACCCCUAAAAUGCAGAAGGACACACUGGAUUCAUUUCGCUCCGGAAAGGUGAACUUACUAUUUACUACGGAUGUCGCGGAAGAGGGUAUUGAUGUCACAGACUGCUCGUGUGUAAUAAGAUUUGAUUUGCCAAAGACUACCCGUAGUUAUAUGCAGUCACGUGGACGAGCACGGCAGAAGGACUCUCAGUACAUACUAAUGAUUGAAAGGGAAAAUGUUAAACAAAAUAAUUUGAUAUCUGCCAUUUUGAGAAGCGAGAAGUCAAUGAUUGAGACUGCUUUGAACAGAGAUUCCGAGGAUCUACUCCCUGGUUUCUUCCCUGUUGAAGAAAAAAAUGAAUACCUUGUUGGCACAACCGGAGCAAAAGUAACUGCUGGUUCUAGCAUUAGUGUUAUCGUCCAAUACUGUGACAAGCUUCUGGGGGACAAGUACGACACCACAAAACCUUUGUUUGAGUUCACCAACCAUGGUGAUGGUUUUGUGUGUACGUUAAUGCUACCAUCUAGUGACAUGUUGCCACCUUUGGUGGGUCCAAAAGCAAGAAACAAGAAGAAAGCAAAACAGCUUGUUUGUCUUGAUGCAUGUAAGCAGCUGCAUCAGCUAGGAGUACUUACUGACUCUCUUUGUCUAUCUGUUGAAGAGCCACCACUGGAAUCUGUGAACAAAACUGACGUUCUCACAUCUUUGGCUGGUGUAGGUACAACCAAACGAAAAGAGCUACAUGGUACAACUAGAGUAUGUGGGUUGUCUGGUACCUGGGCAUCAGAGAGAACUGCUGUUAAGCUUCAAGGCUACAGGAUGAAAUUUCUUUGUGACCAAGUUGGUCAGAAAUACUCUAAUUUUGUUCUGUUAAUUGAUAAAACUAUAGCACAUGAAGCUGCUAAUUUGGACAUUGAUCUGUUUCUACAUGACAAGAUGGUGAAAGCUUCAGUAUCUCCUUGUGGCCUUUUUGAGUUGGAUGUUCAACAGCUGGAGCAAGCAAAGCUAUUUCAAGCACUUCUGUUCAAUGGUUUGUUCGGAAAGUUGUUCACUGGAUCAAAAUCAUCCGGCGUUCCACGGGAGUUUAUUCUCAGUAAAGAUGACACGUUUAUCUGGAAUAAUCCAAAUAUGUAUUUGAUUUUACCUAUGGAUCCUACUGUGGAGUCCCAUGACAUUUCAUGCAUCAACUGGAGAGUGAUUGAUGAAGCCGCUACAGCUGUUAAACUUUUGAGGAAGAUUUAUUCUGAAGAAAAAAUGAACAUACUGGGAAUUCUUGAUUUCGACCAAAAUGAUGAAGAUCUAAUUCAUUUGGCCAACACAUCAUCAGAUGAGAAAGGAACAGAAUUCCAUACCUUUGCAGAAUACUUUGAAAAGAAGUAUGACAUAGUUCUUCGUCAUCCCUCACAGCCAUUACUAGUGCUGAAACCAAGUCAUAGGCCUCACAACAUCCUUUCCUCGAAGCUCAGAGAUGAAGGUAACGGUGAGAAGAAAAAGGGUGACACAUCAGAUAUAACUAAGGCAAACAACCGUGUUCACAUGCCCCCAGAGUUGCUGAUUCCCCUUAAUUUUUCUGAUGACAUUUUAAGAACAUUUUAUUUGUUCCCAUCUUUGAUGCAUCGUAUAGAGACAUUAAUGCUAGCCAGUCAACUAAAGAGUGAAAUUUCAUAUGACGAUUCUAAUGUAUCAAGCUUUCUGAUUCUAGAAGCUAUCACAACUCUUCGAUGCUCUGAAGACUUCUCAAUGGAGCGUCUGGAAUUAUUGGGAGAUUCUGUGUUGAAGUAUGUCGUUAGUUGUCACCUUUUCCUAAAAUUUCCUAACAUGGAUGAGGGCCAGUUAACAUCCAGUAGGGUUGAUAUAAUAUCUAAUGCUGCACUUUAUGGGUUUGGAAUUGAACACAAAAUACAGGGUUAUAUACGUGAUGCUGCAUUUGAUCCUCGUCGAUGGCUUGCACCAGGACAGCUCUCCAUUCAUCCUGUUCCUUGUAAUUGCCGAGUAAAUUCUGAGGUUGUCACUGAGGAUAUUAAUGUGAAAGUAGGCCAGCUGUGUGAUAAGGGACACAGAUGGAUGUGUUCCAAAACAAUUUCUGAUUGCGUCGAAGCUAUAAUCGGUGCGUAUUAUGUAGAAGGUGGCUUAAGAGCAGCAAUGGCUGUUCUCAAAUGGUUGGGAAUUAAUGUUGAAGUUGAGGAAGAAUUGAUUGGUCAGUUCUUGAGUGCAUCUGUGCAGACUUAUCUUCCAAAAAAUGAUGUAAUUGAAAAGGUUGAAGCAAAACUAGGCUAUGUAUUUUUGAUGAAAGGUCUUCUGCUAGAAGCUCUUACCCACCCAUCACUGCAGGAAUCAGCAGAAGGAUAUUCCUACGAGCGUCUGGAGUUCCUUGGUGAUGCUGUCUUGGAUAUUCUCUUAACACGACAUCUUUUCUAUAGUCAUAAAGACACCGAUGAGGGGGAGCUGACAGAUUUACGGUCUGCAUCAGUAAACAAUGAAAAUUUUGCACAACUCGCAGUGAAGCAUAAGUUAUAUCAGUUUCUCCAGCAUUCUUCUGGGAAAUUACCAGAAAAUAUUACUGAAUAUGUGGAUAGUUUAGAGAACCCUUCCAUGGACAAAGUCAACCUUUUAUCAGAUGCGGCAUUAAGAGGGCCUAAGGUUCUGGGUGAUGUUGUAGAAAGUAUUGCGGGUGCAAUUCUUAUAGAUAGAAAACUUGAUUUGGAGGUAGUUUGGGGUAUUUUCAAACCUCUUCUUUCCCCUAUUGUUACACCUGAGAAGCUGGAGUUACCUCCCUUCAGAGAGCUUCUCGAAUGGUGCAACAAAAGUGGGUACUUUCUAGGAAUUAAGUGUACAGAUGGAAUUAAGCGUACAGAUGGAGACAAAAUAGAGGCUACUCUGGAUGUGCAACUCAAGGAGACGCUCCUUGUCAGGCAAGGUUGUGGCAAGAGCAAAAAGGAUGCUAAAGCACAUGCAGCUUCCAUGUUACUCAAGGACCUUGAGGUGGAAGGACUUAUAGUACCAAAGAAUGCAAGCAACACGCAACAGUUCCAGGAUCAUCGUAACAUUUUUGAUGCAAUGGAUAUACAACUUUCAACACCAACCAGGGGAAAGAGAUCAGCUGGAUCAAAGAUAGCCGCCAGUCUUGAUAAACCAGUGGACUGGCCGGUGAGAAUGAGCAAAGGAGGACCCCGUGCAGGACUGUAUGAGUUCUGCAAAAAGUUGCAAUGGCCAGCUCCUAAUUUCGAUUGUGCGAAGGUAGAACAAAGUGUGCCUACGCCUCAAGGUCAAGGGUUCACCUUCGCGUCAACCAUAAAACUGCACAUACCGAAUAGUGAUGUGAUCAGCCUCACAGGGGAUUGUUUUGCGGAUAAGAAGAGCGCGAUGGAUUCCGCCGCACUGCUCAUGCUCUAUGAGCUUCAGCAGCGAGGGAGAUUGCAAGUCCAGGAGAUUCAUGUUUCGUGA